rnacentral:rRNA from 1 species
AACGAACGCUGGCGGCAGGCCUAACACAUGCAAGUCGAGCGCCCCGCAAGGGGAGCGGCGGACGGGUGAGUAACGCGUGGGAACGUACCCUUUGCUACGGAAUAGCCUCGGGAAACUGGGAGUAAUACCGUAUGUGCCCUUCGGGGGAAAGAUUUAUCGGCAAAGGAUCGGCCCGCGUUGGAUUAGGUAGUUGGUGGGGUAAUGGCCUACCAAGCCGACGAUCCAUAGCUGGUUUGAGAGGAUGAUCAGCCACACUGGGACUGAGACACGACCCAGACUCCUACGGGAGGCAGCAGUGGGGAAUCUUAGACAAUGGGCGCAGGCCUGAUCUAGCCAUGCCGCGUGAGCGAUGAAGGCCUUAGGGUUGUAAAGCUCUUUCAGGGGGGAAGAUAAUGACUGUACCCCCAGAAGAAGCCCCGGCUAACUCCGUGCCAGCCGCCGCAGUAA